UACGGGGGGAGCAAGCGUUGUUCGGAUUUACUGGGCGUAAAGGGCGCGUAGGCGGCGCAACAAGUCACUUGCGAAAUCUCCGGGCUUAACCCGGAGCGGCCAAGUGAUACUGUCGUGCUAGAGUGCGGAAGGGGCUACUGGAAUUCUCGGUGUAGCGGUGAAAUGCGUAGAUAUCGAGAGGAACACCUGCGGCGAAGGCGGGUAGCUGGGCCGACACUGACGCUGAGGCGCGAAAGCCAGGGGAGCGAACGGG
rnacentral:rRNA from 1 species